CGACGAAGAUGGGAUUCGAACCCACGCGGCAGAGCCCAAAGUCCAUCGCCUUAACCACUCAGCCACCUCGUC